CAAGAUAUGGAAAUAAUGACAGUGGCUAUUGAUAUUGCCUUUACUGGGGGUGGUGCUGGCAGUGCAUCUCUCACAGUCUCUCAUAAAUGUAGAAAGCAGAUUGCAAUUAAUCACCCCCCUCCACACAGCCUCAGAUGAAGAGUCUCUGUCUUUAUUUUAAACUUUGCAAUUAUGAUGUCUUCCCUAGCCGUUAAAAAACAAACCCCAACCCAUUUUUGCACAGCACAGCUCAGAUUUUUGCACCAGGGUGGAUCAGACCCAAUUUUAAGGCCAGCUCAUAGGGUGGAGUUCCCUCCUCCCCCAACUUUUCCUGUGCGAAAAGUGGAAGAGAGGAAACUUCGGGGCACAGAAAACGAUCCUGUCCUGUAUUGAUACAAACGGUGCCUGACUGAUGCCACACAUGCAACCAGCGCUGGCGGGGCUGCUCCCUCCCCUUCAAUGAUUUUCCCUUUGUCAAUUGCAUCCAUCACACGUGAGGGGCCAUGUGAGCUAAAGACCCCUCUCAACCCCCCUCCUCCCCUUCCAUCCCUGCACCAGCUCCCUCUCCUCCAGCGCCUGCUUUAAAACCACGUGAGCUCGUCCCCCCGUUUCCGGUUUGUGGGGGGCUGGCUGCUGAAAAGGGGGGCCGCUUGUGUGUUGGUGGCGCGAGCCUCAGCUGAGGUGCUGCUAGGGGCUCAUUAUCAUGAGAAAGGGGCUGCGAGGGCAGAUAGCCCACAGGAGCGACAGUCUACAGCAGUGUAAAGGGACACAGGGAAAUGGGAGGGUUUGCCAAACUGUUAAACGGGUGUGUGUAUGUGGGAGGGGGCUGGGUCUCACCCCCAGUAAUGUGGUUCGUUUUAAUGUGGUUAAGUAUCAAGUGGUUAGCUAGGCCCCGGAGGACCUUGGCCUUACGUUGAAAUCUACCUCAGUAAUGUCUCAAUGUGAAACUAGUGCGCUAGGAUGGCAGGGAAAUGAUAAUCUCUCUCUUGCUCUGGAGCAACCAGAGGACAAGUAAUGUGGAGCAUAACUUUGUUUUGUUGCACUCCGCCACCCAACCCAGAAAGGGUGGAUCUGGGGAGAGGGCCCUGGAGCGGCUGGAUUUCAUUUGUGCUACUAGCAGUGGUUUUCAUUUUCAUCUCAUGAAGUUAGUUUUAAUCACAAGUAGCAAAGGUGGGAUCUCUGCUUUUGCUGCACAUGAGUCCCUAUUGUUUGGCUUGUUGUGCGAAUUUUGUAUUACAGUUUGAAAAAUAAAGGGGAAGGGAUUAGAAGGGUAAUUUGCACACUAAAGUGCCUGAAGUUAAACACCUAAAUCCAUAGAUAAGUUUCCAAGGCUAUGUGUAGACUAGAAAAAAUAGGCUGCAUUGAAAAAAGUGUUUGGAGAACAUCCUUUAACUACUACAAUUGAAACGCUAGCAUAGAUAGGGUUUAGCACCUGUAAAACUUGUUAGCUGUCCCUUAGUGCUUCCCUCUACAAUCUAUCAAGACCAGGGCUAUCUAAAGCUGUUAAACCUUGUCUAUACUAGUGUUUAAGCAGACUGGAUCUAUUUGUCUAGACUAGGCAGAGCUUGGAUAUUCCUUUCAGGCAUUGCAGUGCCACAGAUUAUGAAUAUUAUGAGAAGUGUAGGCAACAUGCAGAUUUAGUAGCUAAACCUGUCCUGGUGGGAGAACAUCAGCUUUGCUCCAUUCUGUCUCUAGCCCCUCUUGAGGUUUCAUAUUGCGGAGCUCUGGAGGACAGAACCAGAGUUGGGAAGCAGCUGCUGGAAGCUGUAUGAUCCUCUUGGGUGCAGGUUUAUUUUGAAUCACAAAUCCCUACUGGCCGGGCCUCUUAUAUGAGGGAAGGGGGGCAUUUUGUGCAGUCGUGUGUGUGUGUGUGUGUGUGUUUAAAAUGCAGUGGAACGUCUUCUCUAGAAAAGGGGAAGCCAGAGAGCUGUGCAGAGCCCCUGGGCCUCCAUGUGGUUCUUCCUCCUGCUUCAUGCAGGUGUCCUGAGAUUUGUAGAUUCCAGGUUUAGGGAGGAAAGACCAGUUUCCAUUUUGGUAGUAGGGGUCUUGCACCUACUGAGGGGAUAUUUGGGAAGAAACCCCUUGAGUCAACAUUCAAAAAGUUUCCAAGUCCCUAUGCAGAAAAACCCAAGGUGAGGGAAAGGAUUGUUUAGCUUUAUUUCAUUUACCUCUCUAUGGGCAUUUCUAAGGUAUCCAGUCUCCUGGGAGUGCCUCCAUGUAAAAGAUAAAUCUAUCUGUCUCAUGUAUUUGUUAAUUUAUGUAUAAAGUCAUUUAUAAGACAGCCUAGCCUUGUUUAUGCAUGUAAUAUACUUCUCUCAACUGCAGCUGAACAAAUGGUGUUCAACAUGGCCCAUCUUGCAGGAUACAGAUUGCUCCUUGUGCUAAAUAAACAAGAGACAGUGACUUUGGAAUACCAUUUGAUAAUAGCUGGAGAAUGCAAUUUUUGGAAGUUGCAUUCUCCCAGGACAAAGACACAAAGCAUAAAUCAUAAUCCUCAAGAAACACCCCAACAUAGAGUCAGCAGUGACAUAAACAAUGGUGUAAGCUGCAUAUCAGUUGUAAAUUGGCGAGAAAACAGGUGCAAGUGACGAUGUUGUGUAACUUGCACUGAUUGGGCUUUCAGUUGGGAAGUAAAAUGCAUGCAGCUUGUCCUGGAAAGGAACAGAAAGGAGGAAAGUGCAGCAGGACAAACAAUUUCCAGGAGGAUGUAAAAGAGUAAGAGGACCAGAAUGUGCCCAUUCUCCCUUACACCACCACUUAUUAACUAUCACAAUAUCACUGUUGAAUAUGAUCCAAGGAUUUCCAUGGGAAUAGCUUCCAUUUACACUGGGUCUGAAUUUCUCAUUGCUUAAUGUGUUCAAGAAGGAAGAAAACAUUUUGAGACUUUUUAUUUAUUGGUACAUUUAACCGUACUGCUUAGAUACAGGCAUCUCAGAGAGAUGAACAUUUAAAGUAUGGCCUGUUAGAUUUCUUGUUGUAAUUCUUAGAAACCAAGUUGAUA